AGAGAACUUGGUCAAGGGGUUAAGACGUCGCCUUUUCACGGCGAAGGCGUGGGUUCGAAUCCCACUUUCUCUC
rnacentral:tRNA from 1 species